AUUGAACGCUGGCGGAAUGCUUUACACAUGCAAGUCGAACGGCAGCACGGGGGCAGCCCUGGUUGCGAGUGGCGAACGGGUGAGUAAUACAUCGGAACGUGCCCGGUCGUGGGGGAUAACGUAGCGAAAGUUACGCUAAUACCGCAUACGAUCUGAGGAUGAAAGCGGGGGACCUUCGGGCCUCGCGCGAUCGGAGCGGCCGAUGUCAGAUUAGGUAGUUGGUUGGGUAAAGGCCUACCAAGCCGACGAUCUGUAGCUGGUCUGAGAGGACGACCAGCCACACUGGGACUGAGACACGGCCCAGACUCCUACGGGAGGCAGCAGUGGGGAAUGUUGGACAAUGGGCGCAAGCCUGAUCCAGCCAUUCCGCGUGCAGGACGAAGGCCUUCGGGUUGUAAACUGCUUUUGUACGGAACGAAAAGGCUCUGGCUAAUACCUGGGGCUCAUGACGGUACCGUAAGAAUAAGCACCGGCUAACUACGUG
rnacentral:rRNA from 1 species